AUUGCCGCCGAUCGCACGGCCUCCGAGCCGGCGACACCUUCACUGAGUUUCUGAUCUAUCAUGCUGACGACGGUUGGUGCUAUGCCAACCGUGGCGUUAACGGAUAACAGAGAAUCUGGGUUCGAUUCUGGAGAGGCCGCAUGAGAAACGGCGACCACUUCCAAGGAAGGCAGCAGGCACGCAAAUUACCCACUUCGGACACCGAGAGGUAGUGACGAACAAUACCGAUGCGGCGCACUAACGUGCCGCCGUAAUCGGAAUGAGUACACUUCAAAUCCUUUAACGAGGAUCCACUGGAGGGCAAGCCUGGUGCCAGCAGCCGCGGUAAUUCCAGCUCCAGCAGCGUAUAUUUAUAUUGCUGCGUUUAAAAAGCUCGUAGUUGAAGCGUCAGACGCGGGAGGGCGGACGGCCGCACUGGUCGCUCUCGCCCGACCGAGCCAGGCGCAGAGGGCGCGCGUCGCUUGCACUUCGCCGUGUGAGCGCGCCGCCGCUGCACGUUCACCUUGAAGAAAUUGAACCGCUUAGAGGGGGCGAGCAGCUUGAACAGCUCAGCAUGGUAUGAUGGAACAUGGGCUCGUACUCAUUUUGUUGGUUAGAGAGUUGGCGAGCCAAUGAUUAACAGGGACUGCCGGGGGCAUUCGUACUCGGACGGGAGAGGUGAAAUUCAAGGAUCGUCCGAAGACGCCCUACUGCGAAAGCAUUUGCCAAGAAUGUUUUCAUUAAUCAAGAACGAAAGUCAGAGGUGCGAAGGCGAUCAGAUACCGCCGUAGUUCUGACCGUAAACGAUGCCGACUGGCAAUUGGGCGCACUUCUAUAGAAGUUGCUGCCAGCAGUAUUGCCCGGGAAACCAAAGUCAUUGGGUUCCGGGGGGAGUAUGGUUGCAAAGCUGAAACUUAAAGGAAUUGACGGAAGGGCACCACCAGGAGUGGAGCCUGCGGCUUAAUUUGACUCAACACCGGGAAACCUCACCCGGCCCGAACACUGUUAUGACAGACAGGUUGAGAGCUCUUUCUCGAUUCAGUGGUUGGUGGUGCAUGGCCGUUCUUAGUUCGUGGAGCGAUCUGUCUGGUUAAUUCCGAUAACGAACGAGACUCUUGCCUGCUAAAUAGACGGCGCCGCCCUGGUCGGCGACCGUUCGCUUCUUAGAGGGACAAGCGGCUUUUAGCCGCGUGAAGCCGAGAGCAAUAACAGGUCAGUGAUGCCCUCAGAUGUUCGGGGCCGCACGCGCGCUACACUGUUUGCAUCAGCGUGUUUCUCCCGCGCCGGCUGGCGUGGGCAACCCGUUGAACCGCAAACGUGCUAGGGAUCGGAGAUUGCAAUUGUUCUCCGUGAACGAGGAAUUCCUUGUACUGGCGAGUCAUCAGCUCGCGGGGAAUCUGUCCCUGCCCUUUGUACACACCGCCCGUCGCUACUACCGAUUGAGUGGUUUAGUGAGGCUCACGGACUGCCGCGCGGCACCCCGGCGCUUUCGGGCGCCGCGUCGCGUAGCGGAAAGUGAGACGAACUUGAUCACUUCUAG
rnacentral:rRNA from 1 species